GGGUGAACGAAGAAUUUGCCUACUAGUUUCUAAAAGAUUAACAGUAACUUGUAUUACUUUGGUAUUAAAUUACAUUGGGUUAAUUCAAAAGUUAUUCCUACAGUUCAUUAUCGUGGAAUUAGAGGAAGAUCCCGCGCUUAUUCGAAGACGACGGAAACUAACAAACUCACAUCACAGAAGAAUGGAGCCGAUCAUCCUCUCCGACGAAGACGACCCCUCAACACCAUUCCCUCUCCAUUCCAAGAAACGCCGAACCGAAUCUAAUCCAAACCCUACCGUUUUCCUCCUCGACGACGAUCCCACCCCUCAGAAACAAUACGUUCCUUCCUCUACACCCUCCGUCGUUCCCGAGACUCCAUUCUCUCCGUUAUUCGAUUCCGAUAUUGCAAUCGUCAAAUGCACUAGACCUUCCGAUUCCGCUCCUGCAAAUUUAUCCGGAAUUAGUCAAAUGAUAUGUUUGGAAUCAGAUGAUGAGCCGGAAAAUUCUGGAGCGGGCAAUUGGAUAGAGAAUGAAGAAAGGGGAUUGUCUUCAGAACUAAUUGGAAAUUCAACAUGGACUAACGAUUCAAUUGGGUCUAGAACUUCUCCUGAGAGACAUGUAUCGAGUGGAAAUGUUACUCAAGCUGAAAUAUAUGGGGACAAUACUUCGAAUCCAACCUCCUCAAAAGUGGAAGAGAAUCCUACUGCGAAAAAUAUGAGCCUGGAGCAGGAAGAGAACGUUGAUAACAUGAAAAGAUCCAAAGUCUCAGCAAAGAGCACAAACAAGGCAACUGGAAAAACAAAGAUGACAAAAGAAGAAAGAAGUCGGUUGAUGGAAGAAAAAAAACUACUGAAGGAACAAGAGAAGUUAAAAAAAGCAGCUAUGAAGGCUGAAGCUGCAGAACUGAAAAAAAUUGAGAAAGAAAAGCAAAAGUGGGAAAAAGGGAAGUUGGCAAUAAAAUAUAUUGUGGCAGAAAUAGAUGCAAAGGUAGUUGAAUCAGGUUCAAUCGGAGGCCAUUUGCUUACUAGGUUUGCUGAAAAAGGGCUUACAUACCAUAUUACAUCAAAUCCAAUCUCAGGUUCAAUUUUAUGGUCUAUGAAAGUUCCAGAACAUAUUUUGCAGCUUUCCACCGAAAGAAUUGAGAUUCCAUACGUCUUACUAGUUUAUGAGGCCGACAAAUUUUGUAACCUCGCCAUGAAUGAUUCUCUUUUUGAUCAACUCAAUAGCAUUCGAAGUCACUAUCCAGCUUAUACUGUUUGUUAUCUCACCAAUAGAUUAUUUUCUUACAUUAAUAAAAGGGAGCAGGAAAAAUACAAGAACCCUGAAAACAAUAGUUGUUGGAUACGUCCACCUGUUGAGGAGGUGCUUGCGAAACUAAAAAAUAAUUUCACCAAAAUACAUUCCAGGCAGUGUGUGGAUGAGGCUGAACUGGCUGAACAUGUUGUUGGUUUGACAUCCAGUCUAGCUUCUUGUCAAUUUAGAAAGAAAUUAACUAGGUUAUCUGUAAAUGCAAAUGGAUCUCUUAUUUCAAAGGAUAGUGUUGACCGGAAUUUGAUAAAGAAAUCUAUGUGGGGCUUUUUGUUCCUUUGUAAUGUUGAUGCAAAUUGAAAAUGGUUAAAAGCUUUGGUUGCUAUCCCCAAGGUACAACCACGAUUCGCAGUUGCUAUUUGGAAAAAAUACCCAACCAUGAAGUCUCUGUUAACUGUAUAUAUGGAUCCAACUAAAUCAGAGCAUGAGAAGGAAUUUUUACUUAAAGACUUGAUGACAGAAGGUUUGCUUGGUGGUGACAGAAGGUUAGGUGAGGUUUGCUCAAAGCGAGUGUAUAGAAUUCUAAUGGCUCAAAAGGGAUCCAUCAGAACAGAUGAUGUCGAGAAUGGUGCUGAUUUCUUUGAGCGUUAAUCAAACUUAAGACCAUGUGAAUUAUGGAACAAGAGUCACACUUCAUGGUUCGACUUAUUUGAUCCGUAGAGGCUUGAUAGCUUCUCUGGAUCAAGCCGAAAAUCCAACGUAGAGAUGGACCUACGAAACUGACCAAAAUCAUUGCCUUCACUAGGGUUGAUCAUAUCAAGUAUAGAUGCCUGUAAGAGUGUGUAGUUCUUUAUAUUCUUUAGAGCAUUAGGAUGGCCUUCAGUUUUGGGAGAUAUUCUCUUGCUAGAGAGAAAAACUGGAGAUAUAGAUGCAUUCAUGCUCCGUUCGCUAGUAAAUAUUGAUGAUGAUUUGCUGCUGCUUCCACUAUUUCCCGUUUCUGAUCCUAGCAUGUUUUGUCCUAUACUCUUCUCCUGUCAAAACCAAAGGAUAAAUGUUAUUCUCUUAGUUAUAAUUAUUCAAUGUUGUAAAACUCUGAUUCAACUGGUACGUCGAUCGGUUGGCCAGGGAAUCGGCUUGGUAAACAUUGGCAACACAUUAAUGGAUCAGUUAUGCAUACAUGCAGGUAUAAAUUUGACGGACCCGGCCAGUUCUAGAAGAAAAUUGGGGAGCUGGGGAUAAUUUGAUUA